rnacentral:tRNA from 1 species
UUCCUAGAGGUCCAGUGGUUAGGACUCCACAGUUUCACUGCGGAGGGCCCAGGUUCGAUCCCUGGGUGGGGAA